rnacentral:rRNA from 1 species
UACGUAGGGUGCGAGCGUUGUCCGGAAUUACUGGGCGUAAAGGGCUCGUAGGCGGCCAACUAAGUCAGACGUGAAAUCCCUCGGCUUAACCGGGGAACUGCGUCUGAUACUGGAUGGCUUGAGUUCGGGAGAGGGAUGCGGAAUUCCAGGUGUAGCGGUGAAAUGCGUAGAUAUCUGGAGGAACACCGGUGGCGAAGGCGGCAUCCUGGACCGAAACUGACGCUGAGGAGCGAAAGCCAGGGGAGCAAACGGG